UACGUAGGGGGCAAGCGUUGUCCGGAUUUAUUGGGUGUAAAGAGCGUGUAGGCGGCCAGACAGGUCCGUUGUGAAAACUCGAGGCUCAACCUCGAGACGCCGAUGGAAACCGUUUGGCUAGAGUCCGGAAGAGGAGAGUGGAAUUCCUGGUGUAGCGGUGAAAUGCGCAGAUAUCAGGAAGAACACCCGUGGCUAAGGCGGCUCUCUAGUACGGUACUGACGCUGAGACGCGAAAGCGUGGGGAGCGAACAGG
rnacentral:rRNA from 1 species